rnacentral:lncRNA from 1 species
UUUUUUUUCUUUUUUCGCCACACCCAGACAUGUGGAAAUUUCUGGGUCAGGGAUCAAACCCAAGCCCCAGCAGUAACCAGAGCCACAGCAGUAACAAUGCCAGAUCCUUAACCCACUGAGCCACCAGGGGAACUCCAAGAUUGAUCUAAUUGUCAUAGGAAGCCAUUGGAGGAUUUUAAGUGGCAUCUCCUUCAAAUUCUAUCUCCUUAAAUCUCUGGAAUCCAUCUGCUUCUCUCCACCAUCUUCACUGCACAUUUUAGUGAGAAAGAUAGGUGACAUCUAUUGGAAGAGGACUUGGGGUCGGGAAAGUUUUAGUUUUUGCUUUUUAGAUGGAAGAUAGAAAGCAUCAUAAAAUUAAAUGAUGGGAGUUCCUGUCAUGGCUAAGCAGUUAACCAACCCGACUAGUGUCCGUGAGGAUGCAGGUUCAAUCCCUGGCCUCACUCAGUGGGUUAAGGACCUGGAAUUGCCGUGAGCUGUGAUGUAGGUCACAGCCGCAGCUCAGAUCCUGUGUUUCUAUGGCUGUGGUGUAGGCUAGCAGCUACAGCUCUGAUUCGACCCCUAGUCUGGGAACUUCCAUAUGCCACAGGUGCAUCCCUAAAAUAAAAUAAGAUAAAAUAAAAUAAAAAUACAUAAUAAAUAAAAAUCAAUUAAAUUAAAAAAUAUAUCAAUUUUAAAAAUAAAAGGAGUUCCCGCUGUGGCACAGUGGAUUAAGAAUCCAACUGCAGAGGCUCAGGUCGCUACAGAAGUGUGGGUUCGAUCCGCACCAGGCAGUGUUAAAGGAUCUGGUGUUGCCCCAGCUGCAGCAUAGGUCAGCUGGGAUUCAAUCCCUGACCAGGGAACUUCCAAAGGCCAUGGGAGUGACCAUUUAAAAAAAAAAAAAAUGAUGGGAACAUUUACUAAAAGCUUACACUAUCCUAAACCCUAGAUCCAAAUGAACAUAUAUUAUAUAGAUAUGUUUAUUAUCAUCUUCAUUUUACAGAUGAGGAAACUGACACUUGGAGAAUUUAUUUCAUUUUACAUUAUUUUUUUCCUUUUUUAAAAAGGCCACAGCUGCGGUAUAGGGAAGUUCCUAGGCUAGGGGUCAAAUUGUAGCUGCAGCUGCUGGCCUACACCUGGCAAGCUGAGCUAUGGACCCAGUCACUCUGUUUCAUUUCAUUAGCCUCUCCUAAUCUCAUAAAAUACAAAAUUCCCCCACAAUCUCCUUUGAGGGAAAAUCCCUGGGAAAGAAGUGAAUUAACAAAGCACUCUGACUCAUUUCCCUUAAGUUUUUGUGUCAUCCCUGAGAUUCUUCUAGUGUUAUCUGUUGCCAGCAGUGUUGUACUUAGUGUCUUUUUUGGGUGAUUUUGCAUUUAUGUAAUUAAUCUCUUCAACUACUGUUUAAUGUGAAAUUCCCUUUCACUUUAACUGCAGGUGAAAUGGCAUUUAAUGGUAGUUCCUGUUGUGGCUCAUUGGGUUAAGAAUCUGACUACUAUCCAUAAGCAUGCAGGGUUCGAUCCCUGGUCUUGCUCAGCGGGUUAAGGAUCCAGUGUUGCAUGUGAGCUGCGGCAUAGGUUGAAGAUGCAGCUCCGAUUUGACUCCUAGCCUGGGAACUUCCAUAUGCCUGGGUGUUACCCUAAUAAAAGAAAGAAAUACAUUUCACCUAACUGUUCAUGAAAGAAGAUUCAUAUUUUUCUCAUCAUUGGCUGUCCUGUAUUUAGUAAAAUCUUGUUUUGUGGACACCCAUAUGCCAGAAGAACAUCCGGAAUAUCUUGUUCCAAAACAGUUGUUUCUUCUACUAACAGAGCAGGCAGCCUGAAAGCUGGCGCCUGACAUCAUUUGCAAACCAUCAGUGCAUUUGGCAGCCCAGGCUCUGUCAAUCCUGUGUCACUCAGACCCUUUCUAGACAUUCACCCUCCACUCUUUCAACAACAGCCCAGCCAGUUGGUUCCUGCCAUUCUCCAACAAUUCUCCCCUCUCUGUCCUAUAUCAUCAAUUUUUUCCUCUCCACUUGGUCACUGCCAUGAGCAAACAAAAACUUCCCAUUAGAAAAAAAGAGAGAGAAGUUCCUGUUGUGGCACAGUGGAAACAGAUCCGACUAGGAACCAUGAGGUUGCAGGUUCGAUCGCUGGCCUCCCUCAGUGGGUUAAGUAACUCACAUUGCCAUGAGCUGUGGUGUAGAUCACAGAUGAGGCUCGGAUCUGGUGUUGCUGUGGCUGUGGUGUAGGCCAGCAGCUGUAGCUCCGAUUAGACCUCUAGCCUGGGAAACUACGUAUGCUGCCCCAGUGCGGACAUAAAAAGCAAAAAAUGAGAAAAAAAAAAGAAAGAAAAGAAAAUCCCACCCUCUUCCCUCUUGUAUUACCACUCCUUUUUGCUCUGCUCCCCUAGUAAGAGUUGUAUACAUACUCUGGCUGCCUUCAGUUCCUGGCAGGAUCCAAGCCACCUCUGUGACCUACACCAUAGCUCACUGCAACACAGAUCCUUAACCCACCGAGUGAGGCUAGGGAUCGAACCAGCCUUCUCAUGGAUACUAGUCAGGAUAGUUACCUCUUGAGCCACGAGGGGAACUCAAUUACUCUUUCAUUUUCUCUUAAAUCCACUCCAUUUAGGCUUUCACCCAGACCAUUCUACCAUUCUACUUAAACUGCUCCUUUUAGGUCACUAAUGUAACUAAUGUAUGUCUCUGUUACAUACACACACACACACACACAAACACCAGGAUAAAAGUCCCGUGCUGGAAAUUUUUGUCCAUUUAGUUCACUGUUGUAUCCUCAGCACCUCCAAUCCCUGCAAGAGUUCUCUCUCAAUUCCAAGAGUCUGAUUGAGGUUUCAAAGUAUGAAGAGAGGGCUCAAGGCGACAAAACGGCCAAGAUGUAAGAGGUUCCUCAGGCCGCUAAGGCAGUCGGGGAGACGCUAGGUGACUAAGUAGCUUUUUCUCUCUUUGCAGACCCUUAGGUUUUUCUCCAGAAAGGAAUGGUCUCAGAGAGGAGAGAGUAGCCGAGGUUUUCAGGAGGGAAAUUCGGGUCUGCUGCCUAUCAGAAUACCUACCCACGGACAACUCCUUACAUGGAUUCUCCCAUAAAGGAACUGUACAGAUUGCCGGAGGCCGCUGCCGACGCUAAACUAAGCCAGAGGCGCACUAGGAGGGGAUUCCGCAAACCCGGGGCUGGAGAGGACUAAAAAGACCUGACGCUCCCACGCCCCGGAUCAUCCCUCCUUCGACUUGCGAGUUUCUCCUGCUGAGUGAAGUCUGGCGCU